CCUACGGGUGGCAGCAGUGAGGAAUAUUGGUCAAUGGACGAGAGUCUGAACCAGCCAAGUAGCGUGAAGGAUGACUGCCCUAUGGGUUGUAAACUUCUUUUAUAAAGGAAUAAAACGAGGCACGUGUGCCUUUUUGCAUGUACUUUAUGAAUAAGGAUCGGCUAACUCCGUGCCAGCAGCCGCGGUAAUACGGAGGAUCCGAGCGUUAUCCGGAUUUAUUGGGUUUAAAGGGUGCGUAGAUGGGAUGUUAAGUCAGUUGUGAAAGUUUGCGGCUCAACCGUAAAAUUGCAGUUGAUACUGGCAGUCUUGAGUACAGUUGAGGUAGGCGGAAUGCGUGGUGUAGCGGUGAAAUGCGUAGAUAUCACGAAGAACCCCGAUUGCGAAGGCAGCUUACUAAACUGUAACUGACAUUGAUGCUCGAAAGUGUGGGGAUCAAACAGGAUUAGAUACCCCAGUAGUC
rnacentral:rRNA from 1 species